CUUUGGCAUGAUGGAUUCUACCGUGGUGAAGUCGGCUGGUCGGCAGAAUGGGAUCCAGGUGCAAUAUUCGGAACCCCGAAUUCUACUUCAGAACCAUAUGUCUUUGGCGUUUCCACAUUGUGUGGCGAGAAAGCUGGCCGACCGCUACAUCUUGAACCAAAUGUCGAUAAAAUUUCUGACGUAGCUGUGGAGGGAGCUGCGAAUAUAGGGUUUCCAGAAACACUCUUUGGAGACGCCCAUGCGAAGUACGUUACAACGAUGAUCAGACAACAUAAAAAGUUGCUUCCGGAUGCUCUUCAGGAAAUCGAUCAACGACUGCUGAAGGCGGGGGUAUCGGCGG
rnacentral:sRNA from 1 species